GCUUAACACAUGCAAGUCGAACGGGAAACCUUUUAUUGAAGCUUCGGCAGAUUUAACUGGUUUCUAGUGGCGGACGGGUGAGUAACGCGUGGGUAACCUGCCUUAUACAGGGGGAUAACAGUCAGAAAUGACUGCUAAUACCGCAUAAGCGCACAGGGCCGCAUGGCCCGGUGUGAAAAACUCCGGUGGUAUAAGAUGGACCCGCGUUGGAUUAGCUUGUUGGUGGGGUAACGGCCCACCAAGGCGACGAUCCAUAGCCGGCCUGAGAGGGUGAACGGCCACAUUGGGACUGAGACACGGCCCAGACUCCUACGGGAGGCAGCAGUGGGGAAUAUUGCACAAUGGGGGAAACCCUGAUGCAGCGACGCCGCGUGAAGGAAGAAGUAUCUCGGUAUGUAAACUUCUAUCAGCAGGGAAGAUAGUGACGGUACCUGACUAAGAAGCCCCGGCUAACUACGUGCCAGCAGCCGCGGUAAUACGUAGGGGGCAAGCGUUAUCCGGAUUUACUGGGUGUAAAGGGAGCGUAGACGGUGUGGCAAGUCUGAUGUGAAAGGCAUGGGCUCAACCUGUGGACUGCAUUGGAAACUGUCAUACUUGAGUGCCGGAGGGGUAAGCGGAAUUCCUAGUGUAGCGGUGAAAUGCGUAGAUAUUAGGAGGAACACCAGUGGCGAAGGCGGCUUACUGGACGGUAACUGACGCUGAGGCUCGAAAGCGUGGGGAGCAAACAGG
rnacentral:rRNA from 1 species